UGAGGAAUAUUGGUCAAUGGGUGCAAGCCUGAACCAGCCAUCCCGCGUGAAGGACGACUGCCCUAUGGGUUGUAAACUUCUUUUGUAUAGGGAUAAACCUACCCUCGUGAGGGUAGCUGAAGGUACUAUACGAAUAAGCACCGGCUAACUCCGUGCCAGCAGCCGCGGUAAUACGGAGGGUGCAAGCGUUAUCCGGAUUUAUUGGGUUUAAAGGGUCCGUAGGCGGACUUAUAAGUCAGUGGUGAAAGCCUGUCGCUUAACGAUAGAACUGCCAUUGAUACUGUAAGUCUUGAGUAUAUUUGAGGUAGCUGGAAUAAGUAGUGUAGCGGUGAAAUGCAUAGAUAUUACUUAGAACACCAAUUGCGAAGGCAGGUUACCAAGAUAUAACUGACGCUGAGGGGCGAAAGCGUGGGGAGCGAACA
rnacentral:rRNA from 1 species